GAUCAUGGCUCAGGAUGAACGCUGGCGGCGUGCUUAACACAUGCAAGUCGAACGAUGAAAGCGGGAGCUUGCUCCUGCUGGAUUAGUGGCGAACGGGUGAGUAACACGUGAGUAACCUGCCCUUGACUCUGGGAUAAGCGCUGGAAACGACGUCUAAUACCGGAUACGACCUUCGGAGGCAUCUCCUGGGGGUGGAAAGAAUUUCGGUCAAGGAUGGACUCGCGGCCUAUCAGCUAGUUGGUGAGGUAAUGGCUCACCAAGGCGACGACGGGUAGCCGGCCUGAGAGGGUGACCGGCCACACUGGGACUGAGACACGGCCCAGACUCCUACGGGAGGCAGCAGUGGGGAAUAUUGCACAAUGGGCGCAAGCCUGACGCAGCAACGCCGCGUGAGGGACGACGGCCUUCGGGUUGUAAACCUCUUUAGUAGGGAAGAAGCGAAAGUGACGGUACCUGCAGAAAAGCACCGGCUAACUACGUG
rnacentral:rRNA from 1 species